AUAAAUUUUUUGAUUGAGUUAAGUCUGCCAAUUGAUAUUUUAUCGUGUGUUUUUCUAUGUUGUGAUGUUAUGCUAUUGUUUCAGAAAAAGGGAGAAGGUUUGGAUCCAUUAAAACGUUUAAUCCCGCUGCAAAUGUUUGCACCUGUCCUAAGUCAGGAAUCUGAUGUACAGUAGUUGUCGUUUGUUUAUGUAAUAUAUACGUGUUUCUCGUUUCUCGUUUUGUUUAUAUAGAUUAGACCGUUGGUUUUUCCCGUUUGAAUGGUUUUACACUAGUAAUUUUGGGGCCCCUUUAUAGCUUGUUGUUCGGUGUGAGCCAAGGCUCCGUGUUGAAGGCCGUACUUUAACCUAUAAUGGUUUACUUUUUAAAUUGUUAUUUGGAUGGAGAGUUGUCUCAUUGGCACUCACACCACAUCUUCC
rnacentral:lncRNA from 1 species